GCGUGUAGUCCUCUGAGGUUCGCCCGUUGUACCAGGGCUGGACCAGGCUCCGUCCUCUUGCUGUUGCCUAGCGGUACAGCACUGUCCCGAUCCCCCGGGGCGCUGGGCCAACCACCUGUUGAGGGGCGUUUGGGUUUUCCAGUUUGGGGCAGCGAUGAAUAAAGCUGCCGUGUACAAACUUUCUCCCACAGGUGGUAAGGGCUGGUUUUCAUCCCCCAGGAGCCUCAGGGAAGUGGAAAGCGUGCAGAGAGGGUACGCCUAUCAGUGAGGCACACUGCCCAAGAGGCGCCAGCGCUGGGCGGCUUCAGAAAGGCAGGGGGCCGCCUGGACCGGCGCUCAGGCCGGGCGCCCUUGCCCGCUGCUCGGCUCUGCACAAUCGAGGGGCACGACGCGGACGCCCAGAAUGCGGCGCGCGCACGCCCACCCACGCUCACACCCCCGCGCACACGCCCACCCACACGCACACACGCAAACGGGCGGGCUCGAGGCCCGUCCGGGCGCCACCGGCUCACCUGCCUGGGGUCCAUGGCGCCCCCGACGCAUGACCUGGAGCGGCGCUGGCGACCCUCCCCCUCCGGGAGCUCCCCUCCCCAGGACCACUGGAGUCACUCCUUCAGGAAGGCGGCUACACCGCACAUAUCCUGCCCCGCCCAGGACCCCCGGGGCACAACUCCCGCCCCCCCCAGCCCAGUUCUGUGGAAACAGCCCGAGGCUAGGCCUCUGCCUCUGCCGCCGCCCCCCCCCCCCCCACUUACCCUCCCAGCAGGUUGUGAGCGACUUAAACCCACCACCGCGGGGGCACCAUUUAGGGUCUAAUGGUGACGCCAUCCCAGCACGCCUUCACAGCUCUGCCAGGUAGGCGGGCUUGACUCCCAAAUUACGUGCAAACUGAGGCCUGAGGCGGGCUGCUGAUAAACCCAGGCCUCACUCUGCACCCCCACUGUGCGCUCACUGCAGUUAUGACUCCCCCAAAGAUAACUUCUGUUGUCUGCUGGGGGAAAUUCAACUGAUCUCACGUAGGCUUGUCCAAGAGGUCAAUCCUAUGGUCAGCAGUCCACAUUCCUCCCCAGUGAGAAACUGAUUUCCUGUUUCAUCGCCAUUUCGUCCCCACGGCCUGUGAGGUCAGGAUGCCCGGCUGGUGCCCUUUCCCUCCGGUCUCCCUGGAGCACCCAACCUCCAACUCCCCAUGGGCAGUGGGCUGGGCUCCCCCUCCUGUGCGUCUGUGCGUGUCCUCCUAGGCUUAGAAUGUACCUGUGGCGCUGCUUCUGACCAAAGGCUCUCAGGGGCUGCCUCAAAUAUCCUCUCCCCAGGAAGCCUCACCCAGCUCUGGGUUGGGGAGUGGGUGCCUCUGCAGCCCCUCAUUUUGUGCUUCUCCGUUACUGGGCGCUUACCCUACAGAGCACUUUCUCUGUGCUCUGAAAAUGCCUGGGUCCUUGAACGCACCUUCCCACGUGCCUCCCACGUGCCAGGGAAGGGCAAGUGCCCUUAGCCAACAGUCUGCUGGGGAGGACCAGCACUCCCGACAAGGAUCACAGUGCCGUGCCUCCUGACAUUCCGCACUUAGUGACUGACCCAUAAUCCACUGCGUGGAAAGAAUAAUCGAUGGGUAGAAUGUAGCACAGGAACUCGAUGAAGCUGGAAAGAUCAACAAACCUGUGAAACCGCGCUCCAUGUCCUCACAUUGGGGAAAUGCACGGGAAGGCCACAGACUUGCUGCCCACCCCCAGACCGGCCACUCGACCACGUGGGCAGCAGCUCCCACUCCCUACCGGAAACCAGUUCACCAUACGCGUGACAGGCGGGAAUAUACACGCCCUACAAGUGCGCAGUCCCACUUCUACACCUGGACGCACGUACACAGAGUGGCCUUACUGGGAACAGACAACCCGGAAACAGCCCAAACGUCCAGGAAAAGUACAACAGAUAGAUGGCGGCACACACUGGUGACGGAACGUUCCACGGCGUCAAACACCACAGAGCUGGAACCACACGCAGCACAGUGGGUCAUCAUCUAAACAGGACACUGAGCAAAGACACACUACCUGUCCACUUACAUCACGUCCCAAACCAGGCAAAACUACAGCGGGCACCUCACAGAAGCCAGGACGGGGUCACCUUCAGGGAGGAAGAAGGGUGUUCCGACUGGGAAGCAACGUUCUGGGUGCUGGCGACGCGGCUGCUGGGCCGCAGUUCAUGAAGUCACAUACUUGGGCUUUAUGUACAUUUCUGCGUGGAUGUGCUACACUUCACAAUGGUAAAAGGUUAAAAACGAGAAACUCUCCAUACCUGACCCCAGCCCGUCUCCCUAUGUUCUAUUUUCCAUUUGAGUAAAAUGCGUUAGGUCUUA